rnacentral:tRNA from 1 species
GGGGUCGUGGGCUAGUCUGGUCAUGCUACAUGCCUUGGACGCAUGUGAUCGUGGGUUCAAAUCCCACCGACCCCA